GCUAACACUCCAGGCUAGUGGCUGGAACAAGCGAAAGGCAGAAAACCUUGACCGGACACUGGCCAAAAGAUACAUCAAGACUGUACAAAGGAUUGCAGAGGCAACAAAGGACCUGGAGAAACUCACAGCUGAGUUAUCUCUACAGCAAGACACAGUCCAGCAGUGGGUGACUGAUGUUCAGCAGUGGACCUCAGGACCAACAAUCCAAAAUGACUUGCAGAGGACCAUUGAGGGGCUAUAUCUGGGCAGCGAAAAUUUCAGCUGUAUCGUCAGUCUGGUGGGAACAAGCGAAGGCAUCAACUGAGAAGAAAGAUUGCUGUUGAGAAGAAAGUCUUGGAAGUUGCCAUCAAUGACCACAAUGCUACUGUAGGGGAAGCUGAAAAACUGCCUUCUCCCAAUAAACUCCUGGCUGUGGACAACUACUCCUGGCCAUGGGAAUGUAAUGGUGAUAUGGAGCGGGAAAAAAAAUGUUUUUGACAAGGUGAUGCUACUGGCUAGACUGAAAGAAGAAGAAUUUAUUGUGGUUCGCGAAGUCAAGCAGCACAUGGAGUACAUGAAGAGUUUACCUUUCAGCUCACUGAAGACACCAAUGGAAAAUGCAGUACAGAAGGCUUAAUGGAGAACGGACGUGAGGGACUACUCUGUGUGCUGAAGAGAAGAUUGUGUGAAGUUGCAGCACAACUGGCUACAGCACGCACAACAUACAAAAGUAUUCUUGGACUGCAAACAUUGCCCUUAGAUGACUUUUCUGAAGAGGAAGACUCAGAGAAUACUUCCUCAACUGAUGAGGAACUGGGAGAGUAGUUAUUAGGGAGAUGAUGUGUAUGACUCUAAGAAGAUGUCUUCACAUUGUGUUGAACCCAUCAGUGCUGUGUUAACUUGUAUGUGAAACCUAAGGUUAUUUUACUGCUGUUGUACGAUUUCUUUGUGUUUAGAGAAUGUACUGCAAAUUCCUCUCAUCCCCAUUAAUCCCCACCCUCUGCCCCAACCCAAUCACUGGUGAUUCACAACUGUCAAACAUGUUUUUUUUUUUUUUUUAUUUAGCAUUACAUUUUUAAUCGUUUUGUAUUGAACAUCCCUACAUAGCUUCGCUAUAGUUUGUAUAUAUUGUACCUACUGUAGUUUACAUUGUCUAUUGUAUUGUUACUCUCUCCAACAGUGUGCUACUCUAGCUUAUUUUUCCACACAUUAGUAUAUUAAUACUCACUCUCUGUCUCUUACACACUCACGCUCUCUCUCACUCGCUCACACACGCACACAGACACCCCUACCUAUCUGAAGAUAUAUAGUCUUUAUUUUGAACAGGGCAUAGUCUCUUAGCUCUAAAAAGCCUACAUUAUUUAUUUCACCCAGUAAAGUGAACUGUUUCAAUUA